UGAUUUUUAUCUUGUUGAGUAUUUGAAGAAAUUUAGCUCUGCAGUAAUUACCUAAUUAAAAACAAAUUACAUUUUAACCAAAUUUCAGAUUACUAGCAGAAUGAAAUGUAUUACUUUAAAUUAGGCACUAAUGUGGUACGGCAAUUUUUUUUCAAUAGGUAUUAUAAACUACGUCAAAGUUCGACUGAUUCAGCAUUGAAUCCCUUACCUGGACAUAGUUAUCACAUUCAAAAGGCUGUCACAUAAUAUUAUUACUAUUUAGAUGUAUAAUCAGAUCCGAUCUAUGUAAACUUCACUUAUAAAUACUAUCGAUAGAUCAAAGUUUCCAGCAUGAUAGUAAAUUGCAUAAACACAGCUCCAGCAAAUCACUGUGCAAAAAUUUUCUGCACAUCAUUGUUCAUAAUUGUGUAACUCAUAGGAAAAGCACCCUGGUCCCAAUUAAUUUGUAAUAAUUAGGAUCUGACUGUACAUAAAUGAAAAUUAGCAUAUCAUAAAUCAGCUUACAAGCUUGUGUCCGGCGUUUCUUUCGGCAAAGAAUUUUAAAAUGAAAUAAAAGAAACCUUUAUUAAUAA